rnacentral:rRNA from 1 species
AAAACCAGAUAUUAAGUAAGAUUACC